rnacentral:misc_RNA from 1 species
AGAUGUGUUUAAUAGUUUAGCUGUAGAGAGAAUAGAUAGGAGCCCGCAUCUGUCCAAGUAAAGUGUGGCUAUGAAUGCCCCCACUCAUUUAUUGCUGAGUUUGAAAAUUUUCAAACCACUAACCAAUAACUGGUUUUUCUUAAAAAGAAAAACCAUGGCAAAGGAUAGAUAAUCCAAUGAAAAAAAAAUCAUCCUAAAAUAGAUAAUUAUUACUGAAUUGAAUUGAAUGGAUUAGAAGUGACUAAAUGACGGGAGGCAAGAGUCUGCAAAGAGAUGGGUUUGCUUUGAUUUAGAUUACACAUUACUAAAAGUUUAGAACUAAUCAAUUAAUUAGCUGGUUUUUCACCCUUAUAAAUCCUUUAAUUUGUUGUAUUCUUUAUAUGUGAACUCUAAACAACAAUCUCAUGUCCAAUAAAAUAACAGAAAAUAUUAAACUCAUUCCACCUACGCGCCUAACCUUAACACUUGUGUGCCUUAGGCUAUGUUCAUAGAGAGGUACCUAUAGGUUUGGGGAGAAAAACUGAGCUUAAUACUUACCCCUUAGCGUUUUUGGAGUUGGUGUUACUCCUUUUUAUGAGGUAAAAGGAUGAGGAAUGAG